AAGAUGGCGACCGGCGCACGGGUGAGUAACACGUAUCCAACCUGCCGAUAACUCCGGAAUAGCCUUUCGAAAGAAAGAUUAAUACCGGAUGGCAUACGAAUAUCGCAUGAUAUUUUUAUUUAAAGAAUUUCGGUUAUCGAUGGGGAUGCGUUCCAUUAGUUUGUUGGCGGGGUAACGGCCCACCAAGACUACGAUGGAUAGGGGUUCUGAGAGGAAGGUCCCCCACAUUGGAACUGAGACACGGUCCAAACUCCUACGGGAGGCAGCAUG
rnacentral:rRNA from 1 species